ACUAAAUAGAUACCCGGGUAGUCCACGCCCUAAACGAUGUCUACUAGUUGUCGGGGAUUCAUUUCCUUGGUAAACGCAGCUAAACGCGUGAAAGUAGACCGCCUGGGGAGUACGGCCGCAAGGUUAAAACUCAAAGGAAUUGACGGGACCCGCACAAGCGGUGGAUGAUGUGGAUUAAUUCGAUGCAACGCGAAAAACCUUACCUACGCUUGACAUGCCAGGAACUUUCCAGAGAUGGAUUGGUGCCCGAAAGGGAACCUGGACACAGGUGCUGCAUGGCUGUCGUCAGCUCGUGUCGUGAGAUGUUGGGUUAAGUCCCGCAACGAGCGCAACCCUUAUCCUUAGUUGCUACGCAAGGGCACUCUAGGGAGACUGCCGGUGACAAACCGGAGGAAGGUGGGGAUGACGUCAAGUCCUCAUGGCCCUUAUGUGUAGGGCUUCACACGUCAUACAAUGGUCGGUACAGAGGGUCG
rnacentral:rRNA from 1 species